ensembl:lncRNA novel transcript
AAGGGCUGGUGGACCUUCCCCACAUUCCAGUUCAGGCCAGAAUGGGCCUCGCUCCCCACAGCCAGUGCUGCUCUGUUUGAGCAGAGAAGCCAGCUCCAGCCCGCUGAAAACAGACUGGACCCAAAGGAAGAGGAGACAAACCCUACUGUCGGCCUGCCCCAGGCCUUUUCCCAGAUGGGUGAGCACCUGCCCUGAAGGCACAGGAGGAAGUGAGCGUGGGGCUCAGGGACCAGGCCUGCCCUCCCAGUUAGUGCCAAGGACACAGAAACAGAGGGGAGUGCCCAUCAACCUCUGCCCAACACAGAGCCCCUUAAUGACUUUUAGAUUAAAAAGCCAAGACACGGCCAUAUCCUUAAGAUGCCUAAUGAAGCAAUUGGCCCAUCAGCCAGUCCAGGCACCCGCAUGAAGCCCCAAAUGUAGAAACUCAGCCAGUCUUGCCAGACCUGCUUAAUGCAAAAUUGGUAAUGUCAUUUACAAGCCUCUCACACGCAGGCCUAUGAAUAAAAGAAUAAUGCUGAAAAGCAAGGCUCUCCAAUUUCUAUACAUUGCAAACAGCUCUGAGCAGUUCCUUCUUGUGCACUUGGCACAGACCUUCCACCCUGCCAGGGCUCGCCUUGAAGAUAGAGUGCCCCAAUCCUGGAGGCACAGUGGCUGGAAUUGCUGCAAAGUACCAGGAGGCAGGAAGAUUUACCUCCCUGGCCCUGGAGCUCCUUCCAGCCACACAACUCCAGGGAGGCUCAGAGGCCAGCCCUCGGACCCCAAGGCCAGAAGACAUGUAAACAGUGACAUAAAUGCACCCCAACCGCCUCUGUCAAGCAUCUUGUAAUGCUUCUCCACUCCUGCUGCAAAGGCUGCUGGAAUUUUCUGCCUCUACUGCCCCCAUUAAAUCAGCUGCCCGCGGAAAACAUGUCCAUCCUGUGGAGGCCAGGCUCAGAGCCACCCCUGCACCCCCGGCACACUCUGCAGAGAACCCUUGCUCCAGGGCUGGCCCCGAGCACAGACUCUCCCCCAAGGCAUUUCUGCAGCACAUUAAAGAAAGAACAAAGGAGAGAAAGGAGGGAAAAGCCAGUCUCUCCGGAUUCCAAAUGAGAAGAUGAUGAAGUGUUCAGAAGGGAGAGAGCCUUUUCAAAGGACUUUUCAUCCAGCGCCAGCACGGUGUGAGAGAAUCAAAACAGAGGAGUUCUGUGUCAAUAGGACGGAUCCCUCCAAGGCUGCCAGUAUGUUGGAGUCCUGGAAGAGAGAGAUGAGCCAGGGCAGUGCGCUCCACAAACCCUGAAAGACCAGGUUGAAAGUUCUCCCACAAUGAAGGCUGCUUUUGGAGCACAGGUGGCAGCCUGCACAGGCUCGGGGGCAGGAGCAAUUGCUGUGCCAGGGGUCUCUGGAUCACAGCCUCUCUUGGGCUGUACUGUGUUGGGGGAAGAUCCUCAAAUUCCCUUAUGAUUAAGGGUGCUGUACUGGAUGAAUUCCCGGGUCUUUUUUAGUUCCAGCUCUCUGGGGUGGUAACCUUUCUUAUUUGAAAUGCAAAAAUAUGUACUAACAAAUAUUUAUCAAGCCUCUAGCACAGCCAUCCACACAAAGGAGGUUAUUCAUAAAUAUUGGACAGUUUAUUAAUUGAUUGUUAUUACUGCCGCCUUACAGCUGCUCUAAGGAGCCGUCUGCCACAUUUUGUCCUAAUAAAGCAAUUGGAACUAAAUAAA